rnacentral:rRNA from 1 species
UACAGGGGGUGCAAACGUUGCUCGGAAUCAUUGGGCGUAAAGCGCACGUAGGCGGUUCGUUAUGUCAGAUGUGAAAGCCCUUGGCUUAACCGAGGAAGUGCAUCCGAAACUGGCGAGCUAGAGUACGAAAGAGGAUCGCGGAAUUCCCGGUGUAGAGGUGAAAUUCGUAGAUAUCGGGAGGAACACCGGUGGCGAAGGCGGCGAUCUGGGUCGAUACUGACGCUGAGGUGCGAAAGCGUGGGGAGCAAACAGG